ACGCUCGACACCUACGGGAGGCNGCAGUGGGGAAUAUUGCACAAUGGGCGAAAGCCUGAUGCAGCAACGCCGCGUGAGCGAAGAAGGCCUUCGGUCGUAAGCUCUGUCCUCAAGGAAGAUAAUGACGGUACUUGAGGAGGAAGCCCGGCUAACUACGUGCCAGUAGCCGCGGUAAUCUGAGCGGCGUGGCAAGGC
rnacentral:rRNA from 1 species